GAGCAUACAGGGUGUCAUUAGAAAAUGAUUUUGAGUGGUCUUCAACUUUGCAAGCAGGAAGUUGCCUGCAUUUUCACUAGAUCUCUGCAGAUGUCCUGCUGGCAUUAUUAAGGCAUAUACACAGAUCAUCCAGCAGAAGCCAAGAGACAAGGUCAGAGAUUGUCUGUGUCCUUUCCCCAGAAGCCAGGAAGAUUCAAGCCUCAACAUCCAACAAGACAGAGUCCCCUGAAAGCAUCUGGGCACUGUCUGGACUGUGGCUAGCCCCUGUGAGUGGGUAAUAAUAAUAAUCUGUGAGUAAAUGCCCAAAUGCCUCUUUGUAAUUCUCUACUGCCUUCUGACAUAGAGCAGGAAGAGCUUGGGCCCAGCUACUGGGCAAAU